UUAUUCGGAAUUAUUGGGCGUAAAGGGCGCGUAGGUGGCUUUGCGUGUCUUUCGUGAAAUCCCUCGGCUCAACUGAGGACGUGCGGAAGAAACUGCAGGGCUGGAGUCCGGGAGAGGAGGGUGGAAUUCCCAGUGUAGCGGUGAAAUGCGUAGAUAUUGGGAGGAACACCGGUGGCGAAGGCGGCCCUCUGGACCGGUACUGACGCUGAUGCGCGAAAGCGUGGGGAGCAAACGGG
rnacentral:rRNA from 1 species